rnacentral:rRNA from 1 species
AGUUAAGGUGCCCAAGUGUACGCUCAUGAGAUACCACAAAAGGUGUUGAUUCAUCUAGACAGCAGGACGGUGGACAUAAAAGUCGUCAUCCGCUAAGGAGUGUGUUACAACUCACCUGCCGAAUGAAUUAGCC